rnacentral:rRNA from 1 species
UACGUAGGGUGCGAGCGUUGUCCGGAAUUAUUGGGCGUAAAGAGCUCGUAGGCGGUUUGUCGCGUCGGCCGUGAAAUCUCCACGCUUAACGUGGAGCGUGCGGUCGAUACGGGCAGACUUGAGUUCGGUAGGGGAGACUGGAAUUCCUGGUGUAGCGGUGAAAUGCGCAGAUAUCAGGAGGAACACCGGUGGCGAAGGCGGGUCUCUGGGCCGAUACUGACGCUGAGACGCGAAAGCGUGGGGAGCGAACAGG